rnacentral:misc_RNA from 1 species
GUGAAGAUUUGGGCAGGCCAUACGGACGCCAAAAAGUGUCCCUGGCCGCCUACACCCACUAUACAUCCACAAACCCGUGUGCACUGUCUUGGAGAAAGGCUUCAGGGAAGUUUUUUGUGGCCUCUCUUGGGGUUUUUCUUCGCUACAAACUCGAAUGGUUAGUAUGAACGUGGAACUUGGUUGGACCGUCACUGGCCAACAAACUAUACA